rnacentral:lncRNA from 1 species
AUGUUGAGUUGCUCGAGGUCCCUUUGGAUGGCAUCCCUUCCUUUUCCUGCACCAACCGUACCACUCAGCUUGGUGUCAAUCGCAAACUUGCUGAGGGUGCACUCAAUCCCAUCCUCUGUGUCACAGAUAAAGAUGUUAAAGAGUACUGGUCCCGAGACAGAGCCCUGGGGGACACAGCUCAUCACCCGCCACCACCUGGACUCAGAAUCAUUGAUCACAACCCUCUGGCUGCGACCUUCCAACCAAUUCCUUAUCCACCAACUAGUCCACCCUUCAAAUCCAUCUCUCUCUAUUUCAGAGAUAAGGAUGUGGUCCAGGACCAUGACAAAGGCCUUGUACAAGUCCAGGUUGAGGACUUCGCUCAGUUGCCUUCCCUUUGACCAGCAGCACUGUUAUUGCAAAAUAAAUGGCUUCUCCAGAACAUCACAGAGACAAAUGAGAGUCACCUUCCUCCUACCAACGAGCAAAAUCUGCAGCUGUUAGCAUGGAAUUGAAGCAGCAUUUCUUCACUCAUCUUACUAACAAGGCAAACACCUGGAUCAUGCAAAAGCUACAGAACAAUGUACAUCCAAUCCAAAAUUGCAUUUCUCAUUUUUCUUGCUCAUUUUGUAUCUUUCCUUACAUUUGGAUAAUAAAAAUCAAGGCAAUCAUAUUUUGCUUGGAAAACAGACAGAAAUGUUGGUUUAAAUUUACCAAAAGGAAGACCACAAGAGGCCAAAGAGUUUUUUAAAAGUUGGUUAAAACAGACAGAAAACAAAGCUCAUUGCUGACAUUGAACCACUGUGGAAAAUUCAGACCCGAAGUUGCUAGUAUGUGAAGAUUUGGGCCUCAGAUUUUUAUGGACAUGGACUUGCCAUCACAGCACAAAUUCCUUAUGUUAAUACCAGAGAAUACAUACUGGGUACUGGAGUAAAGAAUAAUUGUAUAACAGGCAUUUUGUAGGCACAACAGAGAUGUGCUGAAAGCAGUCCUCAAGCUCCCUUAUCAGUGGUUGCAGCUAAAAGCACGCUCUUCCUUGCUAUGCUUUCUUUAGAAGGGAAACCUACAUUUACGGUCACGGGAAUUCAGUACUCAUCAGUUAUUUGAAUCAGGAGAGGACAAAAGAAAAAUUAGCUCCAAAUA